AGGAGAGACCCCUCCAGGCACACCCACGGUCAGGUGUCCCCCAAAGCAAUGGCAUUGGCCGUCUGGGGACUGAGACUCUGAGGCCGGGAGCCCCAUAAGCUUUUCCUCCUCUAAAAUCGCUCUUGUCAGGCCUUUGGGUGAGAGCAGCAAAGCACUGCCCAGACACCCAGUGGCCACCUCCCCAACUGUCCUGCAGCCGGGCCCACUGUCACCAAGGACCCACCGGUUAGGCUGGAGCUCUUGUGACCCAGGCACCUCCUAGGUGGCCACCUCUGAGCACUGGAGCUUUGGGGGACACUCCAGAUUCACACCAGCACCACCCGCCAUCCACAGAGGCUGAGCCACUGGCACUCCCACGGGCAGUGACAGCCUGGCCCAGGCAGGAUGUCAAUGUGGCCUUCCUGGAGGGAAGGUGAGGAUUUCAAGGUGACAGCAGCAGAGUGGGAGCCUCGGGCAGAUGCCCAAGGCGCCUGGGCAGCCACACAGACACAAGCCCGAGGCCUGCAAGGAGAGCUUUCCUGCUCCCUCCCUCCCUCCUUCC
rnacentral:lncRNA from 1 species